rnacentral:lncRNA from 1 species
UUUUUAAUCAAACGAGGUUAUAAGAAAUGGGACAUAGAUAAGGGGUUUGCGCGUGCUAACAAUAACAGCCGCAAUGACCUGUUACAGUACAAAAAGAAGAGGCGCAGCAAAAUAGUUCCAUUUGUUUUAACAUACAAUCCCGCCUUUACUAACCUUUCACGUUUGAUCCGUGCCAAUUGGCAAAGUAUUGCCAAUCACCCAAAAUUAUCCAAAAUCUUUCCCGAUCCUCCUGUUUUAGCUUUUCGGAGACCA